rnacentral:lncRNA from 1 species
AGUACCCUUGGCUGUGUACAUUUGAGUAAAGAGAGCACUAUAAAAUCAAAAACCAAUGAAAUGGUUUCCAGAACACAGAACUAUUAAGCUUAAGAAAAGGACAGAAGGAACUGAAGAGAGAGGAACUGUUUUGGAGCAUCACACUUCCACCUCAGAAGAAAUAAGGAAGGAAGGAGGAGGGUGUUCCCACGGCUCUUCAACCAGGCCGGCUCUUCAGCCUACAUCCCCAUCUCAUCAAGUAAAAGGGAUUUUUCAACUGGACCAACCAGAUGGUUUAACAGUGCACUCCCACACCAUUCAACUACGCAAGGGAGAUACACUUAACAUAUGCAGUCGUAUAACACCUACUAACAUUUUCAAACAUUAAACCUUUAAAAAAGAGUUCUAAAGAAAUAGAAGCUUGAAGUAUCAUCUCUCAAGUAUAUAGACACUACUUCAUGGUGUGGUAAUAUAUGCAUAUAGAAGCUAGUAAACACCUCCAGGAGAUGCAAAAGGAAUUAGAACUGCCACAAGGUGCAAGCAAAACCUUGAGGUGAGAAAAUCGAAUUUGGACACCGUUGAGGAGACUAUUGCAGUCAUCCAAGCUCAAGAUGGUGGAGCUUCAUCCUUGAGAAUAACCAAUGGGGAUAGAUUUAAGAGACACUUAGAGUCUGCAGCCAACAGGGCUGAAUGAGCAGAGAGUUAUGAUUCAGAAGAUCAUCUAAAAUUGAACAGCUGCCACUACUGGCAAUAAGUCUACUGCCAUUUGGUAGAUAACCUUCUUAUCACACAGAAAAAUAUCAGUACAGACAAAUAGACCGCAAAGAAAAUGAGACCAUCAGCAAAGAAGAUAAAGAAGUUUGUACAAAGCAACUUUUUAUAAAUGGAUGGCUGUCAGGCAAAAAUAAAUUUCCUGUGGACAAGACCAAGAGCAAGGCAAGAGGAAAAUAAACAUGUUUAAACUA